GCACUACUCCAAUUAUCACUUGCCCAGGUUGUAACAUUUCAAAGUUAAUGAACCUGUUUCCAACUUUUCUCCCGAAGGUCGAGGAGGAGCGACCUUAAGGUGAGCCUCCCAGGUGCCCUAUCAGAGGAGGAUUUUGGUGACCUGCCUGUGGCCAGGAAUCCUUGCACACAGAGCAACCAAGGCUCUUCCCCUGGAGAUCCACAGGACUCCAUCUGUUCAAAACAGCUGCCAAAUACUUUUGUGAGUGUGUACGUGUAUGCCUAUGUAUAAAUAAAAAAUACACUAGGAAGAAA